rnacentral:lncRNA from 1 species
UUACCUGUUCCCUAUCACACUAUUAGUUCAAAUCAUUCAACCAGCUCCCUCUCUCCUCCCAUUUAAUACAAAUUUUUACUCCCUUCCUUACAAAAAAAAUAGCUUAUUUCCAACCGAUUUAUCCUCAACGAUCUAUUUUCCAUUAAAAAUAAUAUAAUAUUUCCUCGUAAAUAUACUAAAUCUGACGAAAUUUCAUCGGAACUAAAAGGUGAUCUCUUGGCACUAACAUUUUCGUCAUCGCCAAACUAUUUUCGAUGGAAUAAUAUUAAUUUCGAUAGACUAUACAUUGAAAAUAAAUUAAAUCCGAGAGACUUAUCUUCGACGGAUAUUAUAUCGGAAAUAACCUUUAAAACCUAAUCAACAUAUCAGUUCUCAGCCGCCACAACUCAUUUCCUCAUCAUCCCUCUCAUUCUCUCUGUCAAUCGAUCUCAUUGUCUCUCGUUGUCAUCCCCCUCAGUCACAUUGUUGGUGUCGCCUCGUCCACGCCGAAUUUUUCGAGGCCUCAUCCGUUCCGACGAAACUAUCUACCUCAGUAUCCUCAUCAUCUCUUUUUGUGUCAAUAUUCAAGGUAAGUUUAUAGUUGUCAUUCAAUAGUUAUUCAAUGGUUCAAUAAUUUGAUGAAACCUAAAAUUUGUUAUUCAAGGGAUCAAUUCAAUAAGCUUAUAAUUAUUGUAUAAUCUGAAAUUGGGAAUGGAGUAGUAGUAUUGUUGAAAUUGGGAAUGGAAUAGUAGUAUUGUUGAAAUUUAGUGCAUAUUAUUGCAUAAUCUGAAAUUGGGAAUAUUAUUUGGUAGAAUCUGAAAUUAGGGAUAUUAAUGUAGAAUCUGAAAUUUGGUGCAUAUUAUUGCAUAAUCUGAAAUUGGGAAUAUUGUUUUGUAGAAUUUGAAAUUGUUAUUGAUUUGAAAAUUUUGCAUUUUGCAUAAUGUUAUUCAUUUGUAGUUGUCUUGCUUUGUGAAAUUGGGAAUAUUGUAGUAGUAUUGUUGAAAUUGGGUUUAAUGUGUGCAAUUGCAGUUUCUGUUCAUCUCAUAAUUGCUUCAAUUUGCUUUCCUCGGUUUUAAUUGUUGUAUGUAGAAUUAUUUUCGACCAAAAUUUCGUUGAAGUUGUAGAUCAAUACUUCAUUAUAAAAGGCAAUUAGGACUUAGUUUACCACAAAAAUAAAGUAAAGUACUAGACAACUAAGUAUCAUUUACUUAGUUGACUACCACUAAAAUAAAAUAAAAUAAAAAUUAUAAUUAACUAUAAUAUAAAUAAAUAUUAUACUAAAUAUAAUGUAAGAAAAAAGGAUAAAAAUAAUAUAAUAUAAAAAUUAAAUAGCAUUUACUUAAUUUGGUACUCCUAAAACAAAAUAAAAUAAAAUGGCUCUCGAUGUUUACAUGAAAAAACAGCCUAAUUUAUUAAAGACUUAAAAUAUAAUAUAAUAUAAUACAAAUAAAAUAAAAUGAAUAUUUUAACUAAAUAAAUAAAUUACUUUAAAUUAAAUUAAAUAAUAUAAAUUAAUUUAAAUUAAAAUAAUAUAAUAUAAUACAAAAUAAAAUUAAUUAAUUAAAAUUAAAUUAAAUAAUAUAAUUUAAUAAAAAAAUAAAAUUAAUUAUCUAAUUAAAAUAAAUUAAUUAAUUAAUUUAAAAUAAUAUAAUAUAAAAUAAUAUAAUAUAAUAUAAUACAAAAUAAAUAAACAACAUAAAAUGAAAUGAAAUAAAUAAAUUAUAUAUAUUAUAUUAAAUAAUAUAAUAUAUUUUAAUAUAAAAAGAAUAAACAACAUAAAAUGAAUUACAGUAAUUACAAAAAUUAAUUUAUUCUAAAUAAAAUUAUAUUAAUGAAUUAAAAUUAAUAAACUAAAUGGUAGUUUACAAUUAAUUAAAAUAAAAUAAAAUAUUAUAAUAUAAUAUACUAACUGGAACUAAGUAACAUUUACUUAUUUUUUCACAAUUGCAAUAAACUGCAUAUAUACAUGUGCAUGUAGUAUAUUAAUUAGGAGCUUACAAACUCGUUCAAUAGUCCUUAGUUUGGGACUGUUGCUGGAUGUUAUGUCUCUCACUUAGUGCGGUGCCAAAUGUCUUGGGUACGUUUUUUUUUUUUCUAAAAAGAGGAUUUUUUGUCUUGAGUCUUUACAUGUUCUCCGAGUGCAUACUUAGAUUAAAUUGUUUCGGUCUAUUUCGUGUAUUUGGAGACCAUGGGGAGGUACUGCCAAAAUUUUCUUGAAACAUAAAUACUCAUGGUGUUAGCACUAGUGAGGAGACAAAUUCAUGAACGCGAUAGAAGUUUAACCCCUAUAGAGUGGUCAUAUUGUCGAAUAGAAAAUCAUGCAUUAAUGAGCUAGGAGACGCAUCCAGGAGACCAUAUACAUGAAUAUUUUCAUUCUAAUUGGGUAUUUUCUUCAAUUAAAGAUGUCAGCCGACCAGAGUUAGAUGUACCGUAAGAUACGAGUUGAUGGGAGGGGAUUAGUUGGUGCAUACCACGACGGGGUUUGCAAUUUUAUGAACAAAACAAUUAGAACAUACUGAUGAUCCAAACGGAAAAAUGAGAUAUCCGUGUCUAAAGUGUAAAAACAUAAUCUAGAAGAAAGCCGACGAAAUUAAAUUUGGUUUGUUUUCACGUGGGUUUGUGGAUAGGUAUUCGAUCGGUAUGGAUUAAUCACAGGGAAUUAACUAAGUUGAGAGAAUUGGCCGAUAGUUCUGUAGACCAACCAAUUCAACGGGAUUCAUACGCCAAUAACUAUGAUGCCAUAUAUGUAGACAUUGGUUGAUGUUUAUGGCUCUACCAGUAUUGACUGAGAUGAAAAUGAGCAUUCGUCAAGCAAUGCUCAGCAUGUGCCAAAUGAAAUAGUUGCAGUCUUUUACAAGAUGUUAUUUUAAUCGGGGGUCCCAUUGUAUCCUGGAAAUGAUAAGCACACCAGGAUAUCUGUAGUGAUGAACCUUUUUCACUUUAAGAAUUGGCAUGACUGUAGUGAGCAAGGUUUCAAUAAUUAGCUUGCUAUUAUCAGCGAGUUCUUACCUACGGAUCAUACUCUGCUAGCGAAUUACUAUGAAGUGAAGAAGAUUGUAAAAUGGUUGAAUCUGGGUAUGAGAAGAUCGAUACUUGUGAGAAGGAUUGCAUGUUAUAUUAUGGGGAGGAAAAAGCUAAAAGGUGCAGUGUGAUAUCUGUAACUUGCCUCGGUAUAAGACAACAAAACGUAGAGGGAAGAAAAAACAUGUGCCUAAGAAAAUCUUACGGUACUUUUCUCUUGCACCCAGACUGUAGCGUCUAUUCAUGUCGCCACACACUGCUGAGCAUAUGAGGCGGCACAAAAGAAGGGACGUCGUGCCUGGUUAGUUGACUCACCCUGCAGAUGGAGAUGAAUGGAAGAUGUUUGAUGAGAUUUUUUUAAAAUUUACUGAAGAAGUUAGGAAUGUCAGGUUUGGCAUGACUACGGAUGACUUUUGCCCAUUUAAUAACUUUUGCCCAUUUAAUAAUUUUAGCUAGCCCUACUCUGUUUGGCCAAUGAUCAUGGUAGCUUAAAAUCUUCUACUGUCAAUGUGCAUGAGGGAUCCGUUUACGUUUAUGUUCUUGACUUUAUUCAUAUUGAGGGAUAAGAGUCUUAUAAAAGACAUAAACGUGUACUUCAAACCGUUAGUUGAUGAACUUAAGAUAAUGUGGGAGACGGAGGUUCAGACUUAUGAUAAAUCAGUUAAACAAAUUUUUGUCAUAAAUGCAACUCUGUUGUGGAGUAUCAUUGACUAUCUGGUACUUGGGAUGAUCAGUGGUUGGUCGACUCACAUGAAGCUGUCAUGUGUAGCCUGCAUGAGGUAUGUGCAAGGCACACAACUACUUCAUGGUCUUAUUUCCGACCGAAUGGCCGAAGAAAUAUUCCGUCGGAAAUAAGGUUAUUUCGACGGAAGUCAUUUUUCUUGUAGUGCUCCUCAAGGAUAAAAAAUCUUAUUACUAUUUUAAAUAAUCCUAAAUUAAAUAUUUACUUAUCUUAAAUAAUUUAUUUUUUAUAAUAAUUUGUCUAUAAUACUCUUAUUAUUAAUUGUCAUAUUUCUAUUAUUCAUGUGUAUUUAUGAAACUUCACUAGUCAUGCAUGUGCAAAAAACUAUCUAAUUAAAUAAUAAUUUAAAUAUAAAUAAUUUUAUCAUUUUAUCUUUUUUUUAUUGUAUAGAUAAAAAAAUAACCAUAACUUUUAUCUUUUGGCGGAGGGAGUAUUAGGACCAGGCAAUUUGGAAACCUCAAAUUAAGAAAUUAUUUAAUUGGGUCACAAAGAUGAUCAAAUUGAUUAUAUAAAUAUAAUGAAGGGUGUUAGACUUUAUAUUACUCUGAAUUUAGUUUAUUUAUAUUUUACCCUUUGUUUUUAAGUUUCUGAAUAUUUUUCUUUAUAGGUUCGGUAGGUGAGUAUAAUAUAUGCAAAAUCAUUUUACUUUUAAAAAGGUGGGUGCUAGGAUAUAUAAUUAAAACAAUUUAUAUAAAAAUAUAUGAUGUAUGUAUCAUACAGAUUCGAUAGCAAGAUGAAAUUAUUAGUAUAUGUUGGAUAGGGGUGGGCUAACAAUAUAGUAUCAACACGCAAAUUGAAAAGUAAUCUUUAUUUCUGUAUGUCAGCACUAUAUUGAUCAAUUGAUUAACUUAUCAUAAAAUUAAAAUUAAAUUCAUAAUAUUUAUCAGAUCCGUUGGAAAGAGGUUUUCAAGGGGAAGGGGGAGGGGAGAGAGAGAGAGAGAGAGUAAAGGGUGAGGACUUCUAUCCCAUCUUUUUUUUGUUCUUUUUGACUCAAGUUGGGAGUUAUGCAAUUAAUUAGCUAGGCCAGAAUCCAAACAUUUCUCUUCCGUGGAUCUAAAUCUUAUAAAUUUGUAUGUAUAAUAGUAGAGGUGGCAUGGCAUGCAUAGCUUGUCUGUCUAUUGCGUUACUUAUUUGUGUACGUGUCUGAUCAACUUUGACAAAGCAUUGAUAUUUGUAUGCAAGUUAAUCAUCUAAAUUGGGUGGGCCUACUACUAAAUUGGGCGGGCCUACUACUUCACUUGCCAUGUAUGUAUUUAAUCUAUCUAUUCUAAACUAGUAGUAGAAUUGUUUGAUGGCCACGUUGACUUCUAGACUCUUUACUUAGUGAUAUCUCAAAAAUUUAGAUAUUUAAACUUGACUACUUGGUGAUGAUGAUAUGGUAUUAAUAAACAAGAUUUGCUCAUCUGUGUCCUUCAAACCUUUUCACACGUAAAUUGUAUUAAGACAAAAUAACAGUCUACUUCUUGUGCGUUGCCUUGGGUUGGGCUGCACGAGUAUGAGUAGAUCCAGUAAGCAAAAUUUAGCUGGGUGGCUGGUGUGCUUGCUCAUACCAUGAUUUGGAAAUUUAUUGGGCUUUAAGGAUAAUGUAUGUCCGUGAUUUGGCAUAGCCCAAUUCAUAAGUUCUAAACUUCAAAUGUUAUGGAACGGAGAGACUGGGCUUUAAACCUAAUAAUACCAAUAAGGCUGAGAGAUAAAACGGAACAUUUUGGAUGAUGUGUUUGGUAAUGGGCCCAACUUAACCCUAACCCGGGCUGCCUACUAGGACAUCCAGGAGUGGACUAUGGGCUGAAAGUGUAGUAACAUUUUAAUUUCUGGCAUUUAUACUAGGGUCCUUUACAUAAGUAUACAACAAAUAGAAAGUAAUUACAAGAAUAGUGCAUCAACUAAAUAAUUACAAAAAGAAUGUAAUUAAGACCCAUAUUACAAAAAUAAUACAAUUCCCAUCAAUAAGUAAACCUAAAAUCAAGGAGAAAUAACUGUUAUAAUUAAUAAUUCAAAUUCAAAUAUUUGGGAUCUAACAACAAAAACAAAUUCAAAUUUUGAUUCACAAACAUUAGAAACUUUAUAACUCUGGCGUUAUCUCCGUCAACCGCAAUUCAGGAACAAGUGCCUGCAAAACGCAACUCGAAGUUCUCCUCAAUUCAGGCAAAAAAGAUCCAGAACCAUAGCAAGCAUGUGUUGCAAACAAUAAAAGGACGAGCUUUCCUGAGAGCUUAGAGACAGUAGUAAUAUCCUACAUGAGAGAAUGAAUAUUUCAAAAACAAAGUUCACCAUUUAGAGGUUGUAGACAUAAAAUGACACAAAAUUAAUAUCACAGCACUAGGUCUCAUCAUAAACAAACAUACCUUGGUGGAGGUAGAUCUUCCUUUACGUAAAGGAGAAGAGGGUGAUAAAAGUUUGCCCAACAUAAGUUUUUUCUGUUGUUUGCUCUUCUUCCAAAAGAGCCAAGAAGAAGAAAAAGAUUUGUCCUACAAAAAAUUUAUAACUAUUUUGUUACUCAUAAAUAAUAAAAUGGUUAUCUUUGUAUGAAUGGUUGGUUACUAACUGCAUCACAUUCAAACGAAAUUGGUAACUUAAUAAAAUUGAAUUGGUUACCUUAGUCUGAAGGUUUAGCUACCAACUACACUAUAAAAAAAUUGCAGGUGUGGAUGUGAAUUAGUUACUUUGGUAUGAAGGUUUUGUUACCUUGGUACGAAGGUUUGCUUACCUUGAUCUGAAGGUUUGGUAACCAACUAUACUAAGAAAAAAUUUAAAAGUGUGAAGGUUGAUUGGUUACUUUGAUAUGACAGUUUGGUUACCUUGGUAUAAAGGUUUGGUUACCAUCAUCCAGUAUUUGAAUGAACACAUUCAACACAUCAGAAUGGACUUUAAAUUAGUAACUUAAUAAAACUGAAUUGAUUACUUAGUCUGAAGAUUUUGCUACCAACUGCACUAUGAAAAACUGCAGAUGUGGAUGUGAAUUGGUUCCAAUCGUAUUCACAGUCAACUUCAAACAAGUACCUUAUAUGUCGGCACCUUCUGCAAUAUAUCAAGCACCUUAUAAACACCUUAUGCAAUAUAUCAAGCACCUUAUAUGUCGACCAAUACGUCUUGUCUCAUUUCUCCAAAUACUUCCUCAGAUCCGCCUCCUCCACCAUUCUCUUUCCAUUCUCCGAUCCCUUCACUAUCGCCUUCGUGCACAUCCUCCCGCUCUUCGCCGCAAAAUAUAUCCCCUCGCCGGAGCACUUUGUAACGUACCCCGCCGCGUCUCCGACCAACGCCACCCGAUCGGCUAGCCUUUUCGGUCGUGGGUACUCCGGAAUUGGAUGAGUUUCCACUCUGAUAAUCUUCCCGCCUAAUUCCUUCCUUAUCUUGGAUGGGUCUGCAAUUGCAGUAGGGUCAACAUAUAUAUAUAGAGAGAGAGAAAGAAAGAAUACGUAAAUUAAGGAAUCCUAAUUACAUACCAAUUCCUUAAAUUAAGGAAUCCUAGUUACACUAGAAUAUAUAAAUAAAUAUGAGAGUGUAUCAGUUAUGUAAAUAUUAUAUGAGUGCACUAUUAAUAUAAUUAUUUUUAAAAUGUAUUAGAAUAUGUAAUUGUUCCAACUAUAAAUGGGUAGAGUCAACAACUUGGAUGGCCCAAGAUUAUUAAAAUAUCAUCACAGCCUCUUUUACGGUAAUUUAGUCUAGUCCGUCUGAUGGAUACGUGGGGACCCAUUUUCUUCCCUGCUUGGAGAAAUUAAAGGGGAUUUUUUUUUUCAUAUGAUUAUUGGCCCAACGAUCAUUUUUGUCUUAUAAUUUCCAUGAGAUCAAGGUUUGAUUAAAGAAAGAAAGAGGAUUUUCCUAACAAAAUAACUUGCGUGUUUUUUAUGGUAUAGAUAUAAUACCCGUUGGUACCAUCAACAAAAAAUAAAAAAUAAAAGGUCAAAAAACAAUAAAAUAAAAUGUUUAGCGCUAAUAAACAAAAUUAAAUCUCUACUUGUUUGUUGCUGAAUUUGAAAAACAAAGGAGUUAAAUCAAUUUUUUUUACGGUACUCGAGCUCGGUUUACAAAUGUAUUACUCCCUCCGUCCCAGAAUAAAAGUCAUGGUGAAUUUUUCACGCAUAUUAAGAAGAGAAAUGAAAUGACAAAAUUUAUCAUAAUAAUAUUUCAUUAAUCAUUUCCAAUGUAGGUGAGAGAGUGACUUAUUAUACUUAUUAAAUAUGGAGAGAGGAUUAAAAUAAGGAAAAUAUGAGAUAUUUAAUGCUAAGGGUAUAAUAGGAAAAAUUGUGUAAAAUUUUGGUUAUUAAAGAAAAGUGAAUAUUUAACAUGGGACUAUCCAAAAUAAUAGUAAUAAAGACUUUUAUUUUGGAACGGAGGAAGUAUUAUUUUUACGAUUAACUCAUUAAACUACACGUUAUUUAUAAAAAGUGAUAGAAUCGUUUGUGUCUGUUAACCGUGUAACAAAAAAUUGACGUGGUAAUAUGCAGCAGUAUAUUACAUACAUUACUCACUACGUGGAUUAACUGAUUAUGUGGACGGGUAGUACAUCUUUACAAAAUAUGCCCAAGUGAAAAAUAAUGUUGAUUUUAUACAAAAUGAGAGGACAUAAUUGUAAAUAGCCAUAUUUAGAAGUGAGGGAGUAUCAAGUUAUUUGGAUGAAUUUCUACAAGAAAUCCUAUUUCUUUUGUUAGUUAUAUAAAAAAAUGAGACAAUAUGUUCAGAUUUAUCAUCAUAAUUUUACUAUCGAAAUUAAUAAAAAUAUAUUUUUAAAUGUCUACAAAUAGGCCACCCUAUAUUAGUCCCUUUUUACAACCCCCCAACCCCAAAAAGAAAAGAAAAAAAAAAGAAACUGAUUGCUCCAUGAUAAGUAUUUGUCUAUUCUCUAAGAUGUCUAAAGGUGAAGAAAAGUGGAAUUUAUUUCUAGAAAAGGAUUUCCGAGCUUUUAGAUUAUAAUACUCCCUCCCUCCAUAUUAUAAAGCUUUAUGGAGUAGUAUAUUAUAUUUGGUGAUGUGUCUGUGGCUGUGCACAUACUAAAGCCAGUAAUUUAGGGAUGAUGCAUGGAAUGUGUAGCCUCAAUCAUUUGAUCAUCACCACCACCACAAGUGUAUGGUUAUAAAUAUAACCCCGACGGGAUAUAUGGACUAGUAGUACUUAGUACUUACCCAUUUUCCAUUUUAAAAACUCUAUUACUAACUAUUACUAUUACGGAAUGGAGUAGUACCAACUUUAAACUUGUUUUUUUAAGACAGGCAGACAGACAGACAGCCAGCCAGCCAGACAGGGACUACCUUAUUAUUACAUGAAGAAUACGAGAGAGAGACUAUCAGUACAAACUAAAACUACUACAAGUCUUCUUCAUGUCUCCAACAAAACAAAAACAUGAAACAAGCCAAAACCUUAAUUAAAGAAUGGAGUGUAAGUAUAUUUUAUAGUAGUACUACACUAGAAUGUGAAGGGGAUCCCCAUACGACUACUAUUUAUAGAUAUUGAGGAUAUACUACUUAUUUUACUCCUAAAAAUAAGGUGCUAGGUUGAAAAUAUAAUAGAAUAAGACAAAUAUCCAUACCAAUUUAGUCUAUUUUAUUUUUAUUUAUUUUACUGUGCCAAACUAUAUGCAUAAUAAAAUAGAUAACACUCUACUUAAUGUCUACGAAAAGAAUUCCAGUUUAUACAUGUCAAUUCACUUGCAAUAUGAAGCACUUGAUAUUUGUACUGUUACCCUAAUAAUACUAGUAAUAUAUAAUAUAUAUAUAUAUAUAUAUAUAUAUAUAUAAGACACCAUGCAACUAUCCAUUAUUAUUAUUAUGUACCGAAACAUUCACCACUUUGUUCUCUUACGCCAAGUACAAUUUGAACCUUGAGAGUGUAUUGUAAAUUACUACUAAUAAAUAUGCUAUCUACUAUCUACUAGCUACUAAUUCUAUAAUCUAAUCUCUUGCAAAUGUAUGUAAUAUUACAUCCUAAAUUUUAUCCUCAGGCGAGACCGGCCCAAGUGAACCGUAAAUUGUCUUUUCUUGGAUUAAUUACUUUAUCUUCGAUAAUUCGGAAACCCAAUUUACUUUAUUUUAAAUUUAAAUAUCUCGGAUUUUUUUUCUUUCUAAAUUUCAAAAAUAGGUGCACAUGAAUGAACGGAACCUAAUUUGGCCCUGUACUGUACGUUGAAGAAAUUAAACACUGGAGUUAGAGUACAUACAUUACUGAAGAGAAACAAACCCAAUAAUUCAUGGAAUAAUCAAACUAGCAUUGCUAGUAAUGCAAUGAACAUUUCUUUCCUAAGUGUCAUCCGUACAUUCAAAUCCUACGGGAAAACUACUCGGAAACCACAACCUAAGGGAAUGUUUGAAAAUUUGGAAACCAAAACUAGUGUUUACUUUACGUUUCAUAUACUACUAUAUUUUUAUUUUCCCUUGUUAGUACUACUACUAGUUAGUACUCUAUUUCAGCCAUUUUCUGUUGGCGAAGAAAUUUCAGUUGCUUCUCGAUGAAAGCCUCAACAGUCAGCCGAAACUCCUCGUUGCUCAAAUUGUCUACCCUCUCAUAUGCACUUGUUCGUCGAUUGCCGACUAUUCGCCUGACUUCAGUCUCCGAUCGUCGGAACUCUUUUCGAGGAUUCCCUGAGAUAUCACGCUUCAACUUCUCCGACCGAGUUCUCUCGAAUUUCCGUAUCUGCUUAGUUGCCUUGUCUAUUGCCUUAGCCACUGCUUCGCACUCAGUUUGACGAUCCGCAUUCUCCAUACACACAAUCUGCUUCCCCUCCCCGCCGAUCGUAUCCUCCUUCUCCGGCGCCGGAGACGUCUGUGAUUCCGCAGCGGCAAUCGAAUUCUGAUUCUCGCUUUUUUCCACGUAGUCAUCGUAAAAAUCCGAAACACCGGAGUUGUUUCCGGCGUCGAUAUGGCGGGAGAGGACGAAUAGCGCGAUUACAAUUGCAUUUCCGAUGAGGAAAACAACGUGAGGAUUCAAAACGUAGAGAGAGGAUUGGAGGAGAUACUGGACGGAAAGUUUGAGGACGGCCGGCAAACACGUGGACGACCAGGAGAAAAGAGUGACAGCGACGAUGACCUCGAAUACCUGUAAAAGUUUUGCAAGGUUUCGGAAACGGCGAUAUCGGGCAAUUGCAUUGGCCUUUUCUAGUUUCACAGUGUCAAUGAAGUUGUGAGAAUCCAUUUUCAGGAGAAACUUGAACUGAUGACGAGAGAAAUUGAAACUGUCAAAACUCCGGAGAGGAAAAACAGAACAGAAACGGCUGGAACUAAGAUUAAAAUUUCGCGACGUAUGGAUUCUAAUUUGCGGGAUAAAAUAGAGUUUCUCGAAGAAAAGGAGUUGGCUAGGGUUAAGAGGAGAGGGGGGAAUUGGAAUUGCAGAGGCGAUGAUUCUCCGGAAAAUUAGGGGAAGGAAAAUGAUAAAGAAAGGAAAUUUGGAGAAAGGAAAAGAAACAUAAAGGCAUAUACAUAUAUAUUACAUACAGAGAGAGAGAGAGAGAGGCAGUUUGUUUGGUCUGAGUUGGAGGUGUUGUUAUGGGCGUGUUCGAUGAAGAAAGUUUCAGAGAAAGCGGUACGAAUUUAUAAUGCUCACUCUUAAUUUAAUUGGAAAGGUUUGUUUUUUUGUUUUAUAAAAAAACAUUGGAAUAAUAAUGUAGCAGAUCGUAUGGUACGAUAAAAAAGUGGAGGAAGAAAUGACAAAGUCAGUGAGUGAAGUAAUCAAUCCAGUGCCAGUGAACAUGCACUCGACUCCGGCUGAACCGCGACCGAGCCAACACAAGCACGCGCGUUGGGUUGGGUUGGGCUGGCCUGGCUAACAUUUCAUUUUUUGAUUUGGUAAAGGACAUUUUGCCUACCAUGAUGCCUUUCCUCACGUGCUACCCCCCUGCCAUUUUACAACCAAUUUACUCCUCACUACCCUCGGCUAAAGUAUUUAUGUACAAUAGUCUAAAAUUUGUGCAAUUAGAGUAAAUUUAUGUUUGGAAGGGAUCCGGUUAGCAUGAAGUUAUUUUUUUGGUUAGUUAGUCAAUUGUUCAGUAGAUUAUUGACACACGUACAACCUCGCUUGCGUGUCAGUAUUCUAUUGAUCAAUUGACCAACUUAUCCAAAAUAAACUUUAUACUAAUGCUUCCGUUUGGAAGGGUCCAAACAACAUCAUUUUCUUUGUAACGGCAUGAUUAAAGUAAAUCAUUUUUUAAAAAAAUAAAAUAAGCAUUGUCCAUUUAAAUCUAACUAACUACUCAUCCAAUUUGAAAUAUAAGAUAAAUUUUGAUUAUUAAAAGUUUAAUUACGAUAUAUAUAUUUUUAAAUCUCAAAUUGAUACAAUUAUUUUUUUUCUUUUGAAACUAAUAAAUCAUACUUUAUUCGUCUCACAAAAGAUGGUUGAGGUAUAAAAAAAUUAUUAUCCUAUAAAAGAUAGUUAAAACAAACAAUUCAAAUAUAAAGCCUAUUUUAUCCUCAAAAUGAUUUGUGUAGGGUUCACUGCUAUUAAGAAAAAGAGCCAAAAAAGUUAGCAUACUUACAUGGCGUCCAUUCAUGUGAAUAACUAGCAAACUUCUGUAUUUUUUUUUAAUUAUGUGAAAAGUGUACUUAAAACAUUUUUUAUUGUACUUGUUUAAAUAGUUUACUGUUUUUAUAAUUACAUUAAUUGAAAUUAAUAUAAACUUUGAAUAUUAAAAGGCAAAUUUAUUUUAUUUUUUUAAAAUAGAGAAAACAUUUACCACCUAUAUAACCAAGAUGAUUGGGUUGGAGCUUUCAUUUUACGUAAGUGAAAGUAGACGAAUGUUUGUAUAUAAAAUUUAAAAUAUUACAUAUAUCAACUAUUGAUAAAGAAUUAAAAUAUUAAGAAUAUAUUCCAUCUCAUAAUUGAAAUGUUGAAGAGACCCCUACCCCUACCCCCACCCCCACUUCCACUUUUUAAGAUUGAUUAACGUGAAGUUAUUAUAUAUAUGCAUGGGAAAGUCAUGCAUGCCCCGGUACAAAAAGAAAAAAGAAGAGGAAGAGAGACGUAGAAAAACAGAGAGUCUGGAGUAUCUCUCGCUCGCUUAUUUCCAACCACAUUCAGGCCUUUCCAGUACAACCAAACACUGAGAGUCAGAGAUACAAAUAUUGAACACGCAAUUUAGAUCGUACUUUCAUUAAACCAUAGGAAAAAGUAGUCACGAACUCACUCGUCUUUUUCGGAUACAUUUUAUUAUUUACUCUCUCUCCACAUUUUCCUUUUUCACAAUUUUAUUUUUAAAAUACAUCAUGCCUAAUGUUUGUCACACGGACUACUUGUCCAAGUAUCUCUCUCACCCACUCAACAUUGACCUUCAAAUAUAUAGAGGGAUCGGAUUCCCUCCCUCCCUCCCUCCCUCCCUCCCUCGCCAGUAAAAAAGUGAAAAAUUAAUGGAAAAAACAGAAGAUUAGGUGGGUAUAUAUUACUUUUUGACUUACACUGAACAUCUCCACCCAACUAGCGGUGUUCAUCCGGUAAAACUGUGGUUGAAAUUAAACUUUGACAUUAGAAAGUCAAUAAUAAUCGGAGAGAUUAUAUAUUCUAAAAUAUACUUUAAAAAUAUAUAUAAUAUUAAGAUGGAUAAAUAAUAUGUUAAAGUAUAUAUUUGGAAAACCUUAAAAAUGCAUAAAAUUAAAAAGUAAAUAUGCAACACAUUCGGAAUAUGUAGGAAGUUAACAAUUAUCUACUUGAUUGUUUUGAUUAAAUUCCACCCCACCCCAACAAGAAUAGUUGAAGGGCCCAAAUCAAUGGUGGGCUGAAAAUCCAAAAGGUGUUGUGAUAUUCGUCCAUCUCCCUUGUGAGCUUGGAAACAAAAGAGUGAAGGAAGGAAGAAAAUGGGUGUUGUACUCCGUCCGUCCAAUAUGGUAAAAUGCAAGGUUGAUCAGUGAACUUUAGGACACAUUUGCGUUGUGGUUAUUUUUUAUUUUAUUUAACAUGUGGCAUAUCUGACGUGGCAAAUAUUUAACUUGAACCCAAAAAUAUUUGUUGCCGCAAAGAUUCGAUCUACAAACCUCAAAGUUGAAAUUUCAUUCCAAUGACCAACUAAGCUACAAAGUCUAGUUAUUAUAAUUUUGCAAGGAUUAAUAUGUAUAACUAAACAAUUAGAUCCCCAAAUUAUAUAAUACCAAUAAUAUUAAUAAUAAUUAUACUAAUAAUAAUAAAAAUAAUUAUACUAAUAAUAAUAAAAAUAAUUAUAAUAAUAAUAAUAUUAAUUAUACUAAUAAUAAUAUGAAUAAUAAUAAUUAUAAUAGUAAUAAUUAUAACAAUAAUAAUAAUUAUUAUUAUUAUUAUUAUUAUAAUUAUUAUUAUUAGUAUAAUUAAUAUAAUUCAUUCUACACCAGGAAAUCAAUCGAAAAUUUUGCCUGGCUCAUGGCGGGACUGAGCAUGCCGUGCAGAAGAGUAAGCUGAAAGUGCUGACCCAGUCAUGCUCAGUGAAUGCUUAGCAAGAUCUACACUCUUCUUCGUCAACAAUUAAUAUUAGUAUUAUUAGUAUUAUUAUUAUUAUUAGUAUUAGUAUAAUUAAUAUUAUUAUUAUUAGUAUAAUUAUUAUUAUUAUUAAUAAUAUUAGUAUAAUAUUAUUAUUAUUAUUAUUAUUGUUAUAAUUAUUAUUUCUCCCUCCGUCUCAUAGUUAUAGGCUGAUUUUCAUUUUGAGAUGUCUCAAUAUAUAGGCUACUUACUAUUUAUAAAAUUUAGUUGGUUCAUUAUUUUACUUUUAUGCCCUUAUAAUAAAUAUUCAACUGUAAGACCCCAAAUAAUUAAUAAAUGAAAUUUAAUUUUCUCUAAUUAUUAUUUUGAAAUAAUAAGGGUUGAUGUGAUUAAUAUGGAUAGUUAUAGGUAAAAUACGUAAAUAUUUCAAAUAAGCAGGUGGUUAUAAAAUAUUUGUGAAAUAUUCGUACUGUCGAGGAAUAUUCGUACGACGGCACAGCCAUGUGUGGGCCCCAUAACGGAAAGCGAUUGGAUGAAAAAAAUGACAAAUAUAAGUUGUUGAAAAAUAACGGCGUAGUUGUUACCGUUAAUACUUUUAAAAUACUCGGUGGUUAAAACACAGUAGCACACGGUAUUGCACCAAUUAUUGAUUCUUACGUAAGAAGACACUACUCAAUAAUGGUUAUAGUAAUUACUGUUCAGUAUUUUAUUUUAUUGAUUUAAUAAUUGCUGCGUUUAUAUUUUAUAUUGUUGUUGUUUCAAUAAUUGUCAUUACACAGUAUUUUUCAUUAUCGAAGCAAUAAUUCAUAUUAUCUGAAUAAUAUUAUUAGAUAACAUUAUUGACAAUGUCUAUAAAAUUCUGUCUAAGGAGAGGUUUGGUCACCUAAUUGCGCGCCAGUAAGGAGAAAUUCUUAUUGGAGAGUCCCCUCUUUCCUGGGAAUUGCCUGGUUGUCAAUAUUGUGAUUCUGUAAUAUUAUUUGUGAAUAAUUAAUUAUUGAUUCAUAUGAUGAGGAAAAUAUUGAUUUUAUGUGGAUAUAGAUGGAGAAAAUUUUUAAUGUGACAAUUGUUGAAAAUUGAAAUUUUAUCUUUUUCUGAUAAAAUAAUUCAUUUAAAUAUAUAUAAUAUUAUAUUUUAAUAAUAUAAUAAUGGUGAUAUUUUUACAACGAAUGUGGGAUAUAUGAGUAUACGAGGAGGAAGAGUAUUUUUGUUGCAAUAAAUGUUUAAAACAUGUUAAACAUGUCGGUGGACCCCAUUUAUUGACUGAAAUUUGAUUAUAGCCUCUAAAAUCACCCGUUUGUGGAUUUCGGUCAAUUUCUGUUUGGAAUUUGGAAAAACUUUCUUCUGCAAAGUUGUAGAGAAUUGAAUUUCCUAUAAAAACUCGCGAGAUUCGAAUUUUCUGAUAAAAGGGCUAUUUAUUAUGAAUUAUUGAAGUUCCGAAGCUCCGAAAUAAUUGAUUUUUGGAAGUUUAAAAUAUUUUAAAUUAGAAAAACGUUUUUUUUAUUUUUUUCUAGAAGGUUGGCAUGUGUGAAUUGCUGAGAUUAAGAUUUCAAGGAAUACGUAUAAUAUUUUUAUAUAUAUUAAUAUUAUAUUAAAUUUUCUGCUUUGGUGUUCUAAGCAAUUUCCUAUAAAUAGGUGCUUAGGUUAGAAUUGAAAAUCACACCAGAAACUGAAGUUUUCUCUCUCUAUAUUAUCGAGCGUAUUCUUGUGAGUAUUUUGAGUAUACUUUGAGUAUUGCUAUACGGUGAAAGUUCAAGUUAUAGCCUAUAUCCAGUAUUCCAGUUAGAAGUACUGUCUUUCCGAGGUAAGGGAUAUUAUUUUUUUUCGUAAUGAUAUUAUUUCUUCAAUAUCAUUAUGCUGAAAUAUUGAUCUGAAGUUUUUAUCAAAUUUGGAACUUUUGGUGUCGGAGUUACUAUUCACGUAUACGGCACUAUUCACGUAUACGGUACUAUUCACGAAUACGGCACUAUUCAUCGAAAAAUGAAAAUUUUUCUUUUCGUCCAAAAUAUCUAUUGUGGAUACUAGCUUUGAUUGUAUCCAUGUUUUGAUCAUUCUUGAAUUUUACACCACUAUGAUUAUUUUUGAGGUAUUUUUGGACGUGGAUAAAACAAAGUACGAAUCCUUAAUCCUUAAUCCUUGUCAUUUUGUUUCACUGGAUUCGUUUCUUUAAAAAAAAAAUUUUUUUUCAUCAUCCUCAGUCUUAAAUGAUGAUAUUAUUGAAUAUCUUUGGCCUGUAGUGCAAAGAUGAAUGAUUUCUGAUGAAUAUCUUUGGCCCGUAGUGCAAAGAUGAACAGGUGUUUAGAUGAACAUGACCAACUGAUGAAUAUCUUUGGCCUGUAGUGCAAAGAUGAAUAUUUGAUUCCAGAUAUAUAUUGAUUGAUGUUACAGGGAUAAAAGAUAGACGAUGAACUUUUAAAUUCAUACAUAGAAGAUAGUAGUUUGCAUUCUCUACUUAACUCUUCUAAUGAAUUAUUAUUUCCGCUGCGAAUAUUGAUUUAAAACUUGUUGUCUAUUGUAUUCUAUUAGAUUUUUCCCUGUUGAAGACUAACGAUAAUUUGUUGUAUAUUAUCUUAGUCAUAAUAUUCUUUACUGGGCUAGUUGAGCUCACCCUUUUCCUUUUUGUUCCAUUUUUCUUCUCAGGAGGCGAGAAUAUAGCGAGUACGAGUCGGGGUAUGGAAUGAAGGUUCUAGAGAGAGUUGUUUAGUAGUCCUCACCAUUUUUGUAAAAUAAUGUAUCAAUAAAUGUGAUGAGGAUUUAUUUGAGCAUAUAUAUUGUCUAGAAGAUAAUAUUUGUAUUCAAACUCAUAAUUUUACUGUGAUAAUAAUAAAGUUGUAGUUAUUUCUGUACCAUGUAUUGACAACUCAGAAUGGGUGAUGUAUACCUAUUUUGGGGGCGUCACAUCAACAAUUACUCUUUAAUAAAGAAACAACAUUCAAUGUCAUUAUUUUUAUCACCACAUUUAAUGUUGUUGUAUUCUCUUUGGUUAAAGUUGUAUGGUUAUGAUUUUUAACACGUCAAUCAAUGAAGUUGAGAGUUCCAGUGUGAUAAAUAAAGAGUAAUUAACUUAUUCAUUAAUUCCAUAUUAAGGGGUAUAUGUGGAAAAUUUAUAUUAAAAAUUAUCACUAAAUUGAUUUUUUUAAACUAUGUGACAAAAGAAAUCAGCCUAUAACUAUGGGACGGAGGGAGUAUUAGUAUAAUUAUUACUAUUAUAAUAAUAAUAAUUAUUAUUAGUAUUGUAUUAUUAUUAUUAUUAUUAUUAUUAUUAUUAGUACUACUACUAUUAUUAUUAUUAGUACUAUUAUUAUUAUUAUUAUUAUUAGUGCUACUAUUAUUAUUAUUAAUAAUAUUAUUAUUAUUAUUAUUACUAUUAUUAUUAUUAGUACUAUUAUUAUUAUCAUUAUUAGUAUUAUUAGUACUAUUAUUAUUAUUAUUAUUAUUAUUAUUAGUACUAUUAUUAUUAUUAUUAGUAUUAAUAUUAUUAUUGUUAUUAUUAUUAUUAUUAUUAUUGUUGUUGUUGUUGUUGUUGUUGUUGUUUUUUAAUUCACCUAAAAUUAUGUAUUUUGGAGAUUUAUUUUAUCUUUUAAUUUGGGGAUCUAAUUGUUUAAUUAUAAAUAUUAAUACUUGCAAGAUUAUAACUACUAAGCCUUGUAGUUCAGUUGGUCAUUGGGCUAAUCUUUUAAACUAGAGAUUCUAAGUUUGAAUUUGUGCGGUGGUCGACUUUGCAUUUUACACAUAAUUAAAUUGCUAAAAGUUACGUUCUACCAUAUCAAACAAAACAAUACUCGAUGUGUUUGAUUGUAUCUUAAUAGUCCACCUCUUAAUAUAUUUUAAUAAUUUAUAUUUUUAUAUUAAGAUAUUCUCUGAAUAAUUUAGACUUAUAUUUAUAUUUUAACUAUUCAGAUAAAUUUUUAAUAUAAAUAUGUGAAUUGUUAAGAGAUAGACAGACGGUCUACCGUAUGAACUGACAAUAUGAUCCACAGGCCAUCUCCACUUUUUAAGGUUCCCUUCCGAAAAUGAGUCUCAUUACGUAUGAAAUUUUCACUUACCACUGACUAUUUUUCUAUUUAAUUCUUUUACUUAAUAUUUGCAUAUAUUUAUAUCAAAUUUUAAUCACGUCUUAAAUAAAAUAUGCGGAUAUUUUAAAAGUGUCUCGGUGACAGCAACCACAUGGGAAUAUUUCUUAUACUUUUAUUAUGCGAGAAUUGAAAUAUAUAGAAAAGAAAAGAUAAAACUUACUUUUCUUUUGCUGUAAAAUUCUAGUGGAAAUUAAUGAAGAUCGAAAACGACUUGUAUUAAUUACUUUUGGCAAAUCAGAUGUUUGUUUAGGACUUAAGUUGUGUUUGAUAAAAUUAAUUGUUAAAAGAUGAAUAAUUUAGAUAUCUGAAUAAUAUAAAAUAUCUGAAUAAAAAAAUAUUAUUUAAUAAUUAUUUUUUCAAAAUAACUGAAUAACAAUUUUAACCCUUCUUCUCUUUCACUUUCUCUUUCUGGCUUCUCUUCUUUCUUCUCCUCCUCCUUCACCAUCCGGGCCAUCCCCGUCUCCUCCCUCUCCCCCACCCCUCCCUCCUCUCACCCACCCCACCUCACCCCACCCCACCCCACCCACCCCAACCCAACCCAACCCAACCCAACCCNNNNNNNNNNNNNNNNNNNNNNNNNNNNNNNNNNNNNNNNNNNNNNNNNNNNNNNNNNNNNNNNNNNNNNNNNNNNNNNNNNNNNNNNNNNNNNNNNNNNNNNNNNNNNNNNNNNNNNNNNNNNNNNNNNNNNNNNNNNNNNNNNNNNNNNNNNNNNNNNNNNNNNNNNNNNNNNNNNNNNNNNNNNNNNNNNNNNNNNNNNNNNNNNNNNNNNNNNNNNNNNNNNNNNNNNNNNNNNNNNNNNNNNNNNNNNNNNNNNNNNNNNNNNNNNNNNNNNNNNNNNNNNNNNNNNNNNNNNNNNNNNNNNNNNNNNNNNNNNNNNNNNNNNNNNNNNNNNNNNNNNNNNNNNNNNNNNNNNNNNNNNNNNNNNNNNNNNNNNNCUCCCCCUCCCCCAGAUCUGAUAUAUUGAAGAUUUGAUCUAGUGGUGGUGGUAUGGUAAUAUUGAAAAUUGAUAAUAUUGAAAAGGGUAUUUGUGUCUAAAAAAUAACAAGUCAUUAAGAAACAUGUAUGAAUAAUUUAGAUUUGAUUUUUUAUCUCGACCAUUUAGAGGCAUUUAGAGGUAACAAAAAAAUAAACAAACAACAUUUAUCCUCUUAGCGAAUAAGAUGUGAUCUAUUAAGACCUCUUAAGAGGUAAACAAACAGCACUUUAAUACAGCUUGUGGUCUGAAUUGAGAGCGGUGGAGAAUUAGGAGUGGAGCUGAG